GUGUGUGUCUGUGUAUGUGUGUGCGUGUGUGUGCGGGUGUGCACGCACGCAUGUUUGUUUUUGUGUUGAAUA